rnacentral:rRNA from 1 species
UGUUCGGGUUGUCAUGCCAAUGGCAUUGCCCGGUAGCUAAAUGCGGAAGAGAUAAGUGCUGAAAGCAUCUAAGCACGAAACUUGCCCCGAGAUGAGUUCUCCCUGAGACUUUAAGUCUCCUGAAGGAACGUUGAAGACGACGACGUUGAUAGGCCGGGUGUGUAAGCGCAGCGAUGCGUUGAGCUAACCGGUACUAAUGAACCGUGAGGCUUAACCUU